UGCUUCUUCGCUGACGAGUGGCGGACGGGUGAGUAAUGUCUGGGAAACUGCCUGAUGGAGGGGGAUAACUACUGGAAACGGUAGCUAAUACCGCAUAACGUCGCAAGACCAAAGAGGGGGACCUUCGGGCCUCUUGCCAUCGGAUGUGCCCAGAUGGGAUUAGCUUGUUGGUGGGGUAACGGCUCACCUAGGCGACGAUCCCUAGCUGGUCUGAGAGGAUGACCAGCCACACUGGAACUGAGACACGGUCCAGACUCCUACGGGAGGCAGCAGUGGGGAAUAUUGCACAAUGGGCGCAAGCCUGAUGCAGCCAUGCCGCGUGUAUGAAGAAGGCCUUCGGGUUGUAAAGUACUUUCAGCGGGGAGGAAGGGAGUAAAGUUAAUACCUUUGCUCAUUGACGUUACCCGCAGAAGAAGCACCGGCUAACUCCGUGCCAGCAGCCGCGGUAAUACGGAGGGUGCAAGCGUUAAUCGGAAUUACUGGGCGUAAAGCGCACGCAGGCGGUUUGUUAAGUCAGAUGUGAAAUCCCCGGGCUCAACCUGGGAA
rnacentral:rRNA from 1 species